GAUGAACGCUGGCGGCGUGCCUAAUACAUGCAAGUCGAGCGAACGGAUGAGAAGCUUGCUUCUCUGAUGUUAGCGGCGGACGGGUGAGUAACACGUGGAUAACCUACCUAUAAGACUGGGAUAACUUCGGGAAACCGGAGCUAAUACCGGAUAAUAUUUUGAACCGCAUGGUUCAAAAGUGAAAGACGGUCUUGCUGUCACUUAUAGAUGGAUCCGCGCUGCAUUAGCUAGUUGGUAAGGUAACGGCUUACCAAGGCAACGAUGCAUGGCCGACCUGAGAGGGUGAUCGGCCACACUGGAACUGAGACACGGUCCAGACUCCUACGGGAGGCAGCAGUAGGGAAUCUUCCGCAAUGGGCGAAAGCCUGACGGAGCAACGCCGCGUGAGUGAUGAAGGUCUUCGGAUCGUAAAACUCCGUUAUUAGGGAAGAACAUAUGUGUAAGUAACUGUGCACAUCUUGACGGUACCUAAUCAGAAAGCCACGGCUAACUACGUG
rnacentral:rRNA from 1 species